UUGGAGGGCAAGUCUGGUGCCAGCAGCCGCGGUAAUUCCAGCUCCAAUAGCGUAUAUUAAAGUUGUUGCAGUUAAAAAGCUCGUAGUUGAAUUUCGGGAUCAAUUUAUUGGUCGUGCAAUAGUACGUACUGAUUUUAUUGAGUCCUCUCUUCUGAAGAACUAUGAUGUCAUUAAUUUGGUGUCAUAGGGAAGCAGGACUGUUACUUUGAAAAAAUUAGAGUGUUUAAAGCAGGCUCACGCUUGAAUACAUUAGCAUGGAAUAACGAAAUAGGACGUUUGAUUCUAUUUUGUUGGUUUCUAGGAUCGACGUAAUGAUUAAUAGGGAUAGUUGGGGGCAUUAGUAUUCAAUUGUCAGAGGUGAAAUUCUUGGAUUUAUUGAAGACUAACUACUGCGAAAGCAUUUGCCAAGGAUGUUUUCAUUAAUCAAGAACGAAAGUUAGGGGAUCGAAGACGAUCAGAUACCGUCGUAGUCUUAACCAUAAACUAUGCCGAACUAGGGAUCCGGGAAUUUAU
rnacentral:rRNA from 1 species